AAAGAGGGAUAAGAGAGUCUUUGCAAAAUGUCUUUGGUGAAGAGUGCUACCACGGCUAUUGUCUGCAUUAUCUUGCAGAGAAACUAAAUAAUGAUUUAAAAGGGCAGUUUUCACAUGAAGCCAGACGCCUUAUGAUCCAAGAUUUAUGUGCUGCUGCUUUUGCCCCAAAGCUUGAGUCGUUUGAGCGCUGUGUUGAGAAUAUAAAAGCUAUCUCACCUGAAGUUUACAAUUGGGUCUCUAGAAGUGAGCCUGAACACUGA
rnacentral:misc_RNA from 1 species